CCGGGAGCACGCGCGCCGAGCUCACCUGAACGAACGCGCGGGCCGCGGGGAGCCCCGCCGCCGGCGCCCGGGGCGGGAGGGCCACUGUGCAUCCUCCCUCCCGACACCGCCAAGCACCGGGACCUUCUGGGAAGAUCCCCCACGUCGCCUGCCCUCCUGCUGUUCCCAAACGUCAGCGUGUCGUUACCGCACUCCGGUACCCACGGCGCAGGGCCCCCUCAUUCUUGGAUAAGCAGGAACAGAAAGGAAGAGGGGAAGAGAACCCCAUUCUCUCGCAAACAAGCUCUAGCCCUUUGGGGAACUUGCAGUGAUGGAGGUGUGCAGUGAGAGCUGGAGCAACGUCACAGCGUGGAGCCGGCGUCAAGUCACAGCUCGGUCCCUGUCUUCCCUGGCAGCCUCCUGUCUCAGAGAUGCAUCUUGCACUGUCGUAGUGACACUGACACUAUGUUUUCCGCUUGUUUGAUCAAAGUGUUGAGGAGGAUGGUGAUGAUGGUAAAAGCUCUCUUCCAAUUCUUAUUAGAGACUAUAAAUGACUUAUUUUGGCUUUUUUUUCUUUUUUUUUGCUCCUCUUUCAUUCUCAAAAAUAUCCCCAAAUUAUUCCAGCAUUCAGAGGCUUUUCACACUUGGUGAUUAAUUUAAUCUGCUUUCAUUUUUAUAGACUGUAGGGUGGGGUGGGUGUGCCACACACCACUCCAAAAUUCACCAUCUGCCAUGGGUCUUAACCUCCUCCUCACUCUCUCGCCCUCCCCUCUUAAUUCAGUGUGG